AGCAGGUGUGGCAUAUGGUUGUUUCAAUGAUUAAGCUAUGCUUAUGUGCACACGGCCAGUAUAGUGAAUCUGAAAAUGGUUCAUUAAAUCAGUUAUGGUUGAUUUGAUCGCUCCAUCUGUUACUUGGAUAACUGUAGUAAUUCUAGAGAUAAUGUAUGCUGAAAAGCACCGACCGGCGUGCGUGCAUUAUCUGACUAAGACCAAUUCCGGCUCGGCCAGCUGCUUUGGUGACUCCAGAUAACCUCGGGCCCACCGCUCGUCCCUGUGAGGGAGACGAAAGAUUUGUAUUGCUGCCAUAUCAACCUUCUAUGAUACUUCCUGUACCUACCAUGGGGACCUUGGGUAAAGGGGUAUUAAGGUUUGAUUCGGGAGAUAAAGCAUGAGAAAGGCCAACCACAUCCAAGGAAGGCAGCAGGUACGAAAGUUACUCACUUCGGCUCAGGGAGGUAGCGAUGAGAAAUAGGAAAAACACAGGACUUAUUUGAGGCCAUCUAAUUGGAAUGAGUACACUUUAAAUCUUUUAACGAGGAUCCAUUGGAGAGCAAGUCUGGUGCCAGCAGCUGUGGAAGAUCCAGCUCCAAUUGCAUAUAUUAAAGGUGUUUUAGUUAAAAAGCUCAUAGUUGGAUAUUGGAAUCGAGCUGGCCGUCUGCUGUGAGGCAAGCUACCACACAGCCCCUGCCACUGGGAACCCCCUUGAUGCUCUAGACUGAGUGUCCUGCAGGUCUGAAGCAUUUACUUUGAAACAAAUAGAAAUGUCACCUGAAUACUUCAGCUAGGAAUAAUAGAAUAGGAAUCCAUUUCCAUUUUGUUGAUUUUCUAAAAUUGGUGCCAUGAGUAAGAGGGAUGGCCGGGGGCAUUGUAUUAUGCAAUUAGAGAUUAAAAUCUUGGACUGGUGCGAGAUAAACCAAAGCUAAACUAUUUUCCAAGAAUGUUUUCAUUAAUCAAGAAUGAAAGUCAGAGGUUUGCAGACAAUCAGAUACACUCAUAGUUCCAACGAUUAACAAUGCCGACUAGCAAUCCUGCAGCUUUUAUUCCCAUAACCAGCUUCUGGGAAACCAAAGUCUUUGAGUUCCAGGGGGAGUUUGGUUGCAAAGCUGAAGCUUAAAAGAAUUGAUGGAAGGGCACCACCAGGAGUGGAGCCUGCUACUUAUUUUUAAAUGAACAUGGGAAACCUCACCCGGCCUGGACACAGAAAGGAUAGGCAUAUUCAUAGCUCUUUCACGAUUCUGUGGGUAGUGGUGCAUGGCUGUAAUUAGUUGGUGGAGUGAUUCACCUCUUAAUGCUGAUAACAAAUGAGACUCCCCCAUGCUAACUAGUUAUACAACCCCCAACAGUCAGCGUUAAACUUCUUAGAGGGACAGGUAGAGUUCAGAUACACAACAUGAGCAAUAACAGGUCUGUGAUGCCAUUUGAUGUCUGGGCCGGCACGGCACAACCGCUACAUUGAAGGGAUCAGCGUCUAUCUACCAUUCGUUGACAAGUGCAGGUAACCUGCUGAACCGUGUUCAUGAUAGUGAUAAGGGAUUGCAAUUACUUCCCAUGACCUAGGAAUUCCCACCAAGUGUGGGUAAUAAGUUCACGUUGAUUAAGUCCCUGCACUUUGUACACAAUGCAUGUUGCUACUAGCGAUUGGAUGGGUUAGUGAGGUCCUUGAAUCGUCCCUGACAGGGUUGAAAAUAUGCCUGGAGGAGUUCCAAAAAGCUGAUCAUUGUUGUCUAACUAGAGGAAGUAAAAGUUGUAACAUGGUUUCUGUAUGUGAACCUGCGGAAG
rnacentral:rRNA from 1 species